AGAGUUUGAUCCUGGCUCAGGACGAACGCUGGCGGCGUGCUUAACACAUGCAAGUUGAGCGAGGAUGGUUCGAGAGACUUAUGUUGAUUGGAACAUUCAAGCAGCGGACGGGUGAGUAAAGCACAAGGACUUGUCCGAAAGAGAGGGACACCUGCGGGAAACCGGAGCUAAUACCUCAUAAGCCGGAAGGUGAAAAGCAGAGAUGCGCUUUUGGAGAGACUUGUGUCCUAUCAGGCAGUUGGUGAGGUAACGGCUCACCAAACCGAAGACGGGUAGCCGGACUGAGAGGUCGACCGGCCACAUUGGAACUGAGAGACGGUCCAGACUCCUACGGGAGGCAGCAGUGGGGAAUAUUGGGCAAUGGGCGCAAGCCUGACCCAGCGACGCCGCGUGAGGGAAGACAGCCUUCGGGUUGUAAACCUCUGUUGCAGGGGAAGAAGGAAGUGACGGUACCCUGCGAGGAAGCUCCGGCUAACUACGUGCCAGCAGCCGCGGUAAUACGUAGGGAGCGAGCGUUGUCCGGAAUUACUGGGCGUAAAGGGCGCGUAGGCGGCGCUUCAAGUCGUCUGUCAAAAGCCGAGGCUCAACCUCGGCGCGCAGACGAAACUGGAGAGCUUGAGAAGCAGAGAGGCAAACAGAAUUCCUGGUGUAGCGGUGAAAUGCGUAGAUAUCAGGAAGAAUACCAGUGGCGAAGGCGGUUUGCUGGCUGCAUACUGACGCUGAAGCGCGAAAGCCAGGGGAGCAAACGGGAUUAGAUACCCCGGUAGUCCUGGCAGUAAACGAUGUAUGCUGGGUGUGGGACUAGCGAUAGUUCCGUGCCGAAGUUAACGCGAUAAGCAUACCGCCUGGGGAGUACGGUCGCAAGAUUGAAACUCAAAGGAAUUGACGGGGGCCCGCACAAGCGGUGGAGCAUGUGGUUUAAUUCGAUGCAACGCGAAGAACCUUACCAGGACUUGACAUCCACGCGGUAGAGAAGCGAACGCGGAUCGACCCUUUCCCAAGGAAGGGAACGUGAACA
rnacentral:rRNA from 1 species